GUCCAUGCUGUAAACGAUGGAUACUUGUUGUUGGAGGUAUUGACCCCUUCAGUGACGAAGCUAACGCGUUAAGUAUCCCGCCUGGGAAGUACGGUCGCAAGAUUAAAACUCAAAGAAAUUGACGGGGCCCGCACAAGCGGUGGAGCAUGUGGUUUAAUUCGAUGCAACGCGAAAAACCUUACCAGGAUUUGACAUACAGUGGAAGAGCUCUAGAGAUAGGCUCGCCUUCGGGCCGCUGUACAGGUGCUGCAUGGCUGUCGU
rnacentral:rRNA from 1 species